CGCCUGUUUAUCAAAAACAUGUCCUUUUGGAAUUUAUUUAAGGUUUGGCCUGCUCAAUGAUUUAAAUAGCCGCAGUAUUUUGACUGUGCUAAGGUAGCAUAAUAAUUAGUCUUUUAAUUGAGGUCUGGAAUGAAUGGUUUGACGAAAAUUAUACUUUAUUUUUUUAAUUUAAUUUGAAUUUUAUUUUUAAGUUAAAAAGCUUAAAUUUAGGAGAGGGACGAUAAGACCCUAUAGAUCUUUAUUUUAUUUUUGAUUUUUUUUUUUUAGUUAAUUUUAAAAAUUUUAAUUAAUAAAUUUUGUUGGGGUGACAAAAAAAAAUUUAAUCUUUUUUUUUUUUUUACAUUUUUUUAUGAAUAUUUGAUCCUUAUUUUGAUUAAAAGAUUAAGAUACCUUAGGGAUAACAGCGUUAUAAAUCUGGAGAGUUCUUAUUGAUAGAUUUGUUUGCGACCUCGAUGUUGGAUUAAAAGUUUCUGUGGGGUAGGUUUUACAAUACUAGGUCUGUUCGACUUUAAAAUUUUACAUGAUCUGAGUUCAGACCGG
rnacentral:rRNA from 1 species